GAUGAACGCUGGCGGCGUGCCUAAUACAUGCAAGUCGAGCGAACGGACGAGAAGCUUGCUUCUCUGAUGUUAGCGGCGGACGGGUGAGUAACACGUGGAUAACCUACCUAUAAGACUGGGAUAACUUCGGGAAACCGGAGCUAAUACCGGAUAAUAUUUUGAACCUCAUGGUUCAAAAGUGAAAGACGGUCUUGCUGUCACUUAUAGAUGGAUCCGCGCUGCAUUAGCUAGUUGGUAAGGUAACGGCUUACCAAGGCAACGAUGCAUAGCCGACCUGAGAGGGUGAUCGGCCACACUGGAACUGAGACACGGUCCAGACUCCUACGGGAGGCAGCAGUAGGGAAUCUUCCGCAAAGGGCGAAAGCCUGACGGAGCAACGCCGCGUGAGUGAUGAAGGUCUUCGGAUCGUAAAACUCUGUUAUUAGGGAAGAACAUAUGUGUAAGUAACUGUGCACAUCUUGACGGUACCUAAUCAGAAAGCCACGGCUAACUCCGUG
rnacentral:rRNA from 1 species